AACGAACGCUGGCGGCAGGCUUAACACAUGCAAGUCGAACGCCCCGCAAGGGGAGUGGCAGACGGGUGAGUAACGCGUGGGAAUCUACCUAGUUCUACGGAACAACUGAGGGAAACUUCAGCUAAUACCGUAUACGCCCUAAGGGGGAAAGAUUUAUCGGAAUUAGAUGAGCCCGCGUCUGAUUAGCUAGUUGGUGAGGUAACGGCUCACCAAGGCGACGAUCAGUAGCUGGUCUGAGAGGAUGACCAGCCUCACUGGGACUGAGACACGGCCCAGACUCCUACGGGAGGCAGCAGUGGGGAAUAUUGGACAAUGGGCGCAAGCCUGAUCCAGCCAUGCCGCGUGGAUGAUGAAGGCCCUAGGGUUGUAAAGUCCUUUCAGCGGGGAAGAUAAUGACGGUACCCGCAGAAGAAGCCCCGGCUAACUUCGUGCCAGCCGCCGCAGUAAAAC
rnacentral:rRNA from 1 species